GAUGGUGCAACCUCCUUUGCAACUUCAGUUCCCAUUGCUCGUUUCUCGUCUUGCCGCUGGGGAGCACUCCCAGUGCCUGUUGGAGCAGGAAGAUAUGGGGUAUCUUUUCUUAAUUGCAAAAACCAGUCAAGCCAAGAGCCUGGAGUCAGACCUUGUGGGGUCCCUUCCCACGCCAGUAGGGGGACUAAGGAACUGCCGCUCUGGAUCACGCUCGCAGUCCAGCACCUUCUGUGGAAGAACAGCCAGAAGCCAUGGCCAGGGAGGAACGAAACCUGAAGCUGACAUUAAGGAAAAGAUGUCGCAAGGAAAGGUUUCCCCAAGAGUGAGGUGAUAGGAUCUGCCCUGCGGCCUCAAAAUUUAGAUCCUUGCCAUUGCUCUUUCUGUUUCAUUUUGUUUAAUGCUAGAAUGUAAGUGGUUAUUACUGGUUUUAAAACCAAUAUUUAAUCCUCAUAUUUGAAAACCUCUUAGAAUAAUACUGCAUUCCCACUAAUUACUGCACCAAAUAAAAUCUAUUCCAAAGUAUAGAAACUAUCAAGCAUAUGUAUUGUUAUUUCUUCAGUGUCAGGAAUUCCCUGGGUUUCCAUCUCAAAGUUGCAUUGUUCUAGCUGAAGAAGUUAUUUCAGGAUUAGUUGUAAGACAUAUCUGAGAUAAUCGCUGAUUGAGACAUAACACAGCCCUGUUUCUACAGACAUUCCUGCUGACCUUACAUGUCAUGCUUUCUUUUUAUUA